rnacentral:rRNA from 1 species
UACGGGGGGGGUAAGCGUUGUUCGGAAUUACUGGGCGUAAAGGGCUCGUAGGCGGCCAACUAAGUCAUACGUGAAAUCCCUCAGCUUAACUGGGGAACUGCGUGUGAUACUGGAUGGCUUGGAUUUGGGAGAGGGAUGCGGAAUUCCAGGUGUAGCGGUGAAAUGCGUAGAUACUGGGAGGAACACCGGUGGCGAAGGCGGCUACCUGGACCGGUUCUGACGCUGAUGCGCGAAAGCGUGGGUAGCAAACAGG